rnacentral:tRNA from 2 species
GGGGGCGUGGCUCAGUGGUAGAGCACCUGCCUCACAAGCAGGAAGUCCUGGGUUCAAGACUUACUACCACA